ensembl:lncRNA DNAJC3-DT DNAJC3 divergent transcript
GCCCGCCGGUCGCAGAGCUGUCAGCAAGCUCCAAACCGCGGCUGCCGCCCGGAGGGAAGCAGACGGGGAGUCGGUGGCGGCCGCCGAGUCCGCAUGCGCAGGCUGCAAAGGCCCUUUUGGGCCGGUCCCGCCGCGCUAGGUUGGCGAGUGGGACUAUUUGAUCCUUUCCAGGUUCGCCAGCGUGGUGUUACGAGAGGAAAGCGCAGCCGCAGCGUACGAAUGGGAAGGCCAAACACGGUCCCGGGGAGUCUGAGGGAAGCUGCAGGGCGCCUGGAAUUGGGGUCUCGAGUGAGCCGGUAAAAACCGCCUCCCGCUGAGCGUCCCGGAACAAAUACUGUCUGAACUGAGCCGUAAGCAAGAAACGGUCAGGAGAAGCUGGGGCGAUCUGAUGAUUAGAACAUUUCAGGGACUACCAGAGAGAAGUGCGUAAUUGCUCUAAGGCAGGUAGGUAAUUGGCCUGGAAACUUGGGAACGCCCCGCCCCCCACCCCGACUUUCAGCAAACCACCGUGCCCAGGAAAAAGAGCGAUUGUGGAAGACCCUGUGAAGAAGAGACCAGGAAGGCACUGUGGCUUAAGAGAGCAAGGCGUUCCUGAAUGCAGCCAACAUCAACUGGUAAACAAAAAACUGUGAGAACGGAUCCUGAAUCUUGCGCUUACCAGGGGAAAUUCAGGAGAGAUAUGAACCUGAGCAAGAUGAGGUUGAAGUUACUCAAUGCGGCAUUAAGCCUGUUCACGGCCACUUCCUCCGGCGUCACCAACACACACACUGUACACCAGCAGUAUUUUUACACGGGGUAUGUGUGUUAAGUACUAUCAGGUGGAUAAUUAUUACUUCACCUGUAUUUGCUGCCUUGAUACCAUUAGAGAAACUCAUGAAUUAUAAAUAGCAUAGUGAAUUUGUGAUUCCCUGAAGAUAUACUAAGGUGGACUUUUAAAAAGGCUUCUAUUCCAAAGGGAACUAAUAUGGAGGAAAUGGUUUCGAGAAAGAAAAAAGAAAAAACGGAGUCCUUGAUUAGUUGUGGGGAAGGCAACAUAAUGUAAUGUGAAGAAUAAAGGAGUCAGAUCCAGGAAACCCCAUAACUAUUAUGAAACAUUUCUAGGCUGGGCGCAGUGGCUCACACCUGUAAUGCUAGCGCUUUGGGAAGCCAAGAUGGGAGGAUUAUUUGAGGCCGGGAGUUUGCGACCAGCCUGAGCAACAUAGCAGGAUCCUGUCUCUGCAAAAAAAUUUAAAACUAGCCAGGUGCGGUGGCUCGUGCCUGUUGCCCUAGCUACUCAGGGAGACUGAGGCAGAGGAUUGCUUCAACCCAGGAGUUUGAGGUUGCAGUGAGCUAAGAUCAUGUCACUGCACUCCAGACUGAGCAACAGAGUGACACUUUAUAAAAAAAAAAAAAAAAAAAACUAGGUUUUUGAACUUGCUUAAUCAAAGAAUUUGUUUAAACUUUUAAGAUGCGUUGUCAGAUUAUCUUUCCCUAAAGGAAUAAUUUCUAUUCCUAUCAGCUGUUUAUAUUCCUGCCUAGUCACCAUCACUAGAUAUAAUUGAUUUUCAGUUUUUGCCAAUCUGAGGAACAAAAAAUGACCCUUAUAUGUCAAAUUUACAGUUUAUUUUCAAGGAUUUUGGGAUUCUGAUCAAAUUUUGGUACCUUCAUAUAAAAUUUGGCUUUUAUAUCACAUCUUGUCUUCUCUGCUUUCCACCCUCUUUUAUGUUGUUUUUUGGCUUCUGGCCGCAUGACUAUAAUCUCCGCUUUUGUAUUCACAUCACCUUCUGUCAUUUUUGACCUUGCCUCCGUCUUACAAGGAUCCUUGUAAUUAAUUAUAUUGGGCCUGCUGAGAUAAUCCAGGAUAUUCUUCCUACUCAAGUUCCUCAAUUUAAUCACAUCUGCAAAAACUGCCUUUUGCUAUAGAACAAUGACAGGAGAUUAGAAUGUAAACAUAUUUGGGGGACCGUUAUUCAGCUUAACACAAUACGUCCCCCUUCAUCAGGUGGAGCUUAUUUUCCCUCCUUCCUUGAGUGUGGGCUGGACUUAGUGACUAACUUCCAAAGAACAGAGUAUGGAAAGGGAGGAGGAGAGUAACUUCAUAGUACAGAAACCUGGAAACACUGUCUUGGCCAGGUGGUCAAAGUUAAUAUCAUCAAGUCAUGUUGAUAGCAUAUACUCCCAAUAUACUGUGAUGAGAAGGGCAAUUCACCUCUGUGGUAUUCUCAAAACCUAUAACCCAAUCUAGUCUAAACAUGAAAAAAAAAAAAUCAAACUAAAAUUGAAGGACAUUCUAUAAAACACCUGAUCAGUAUUCCUCAAAACUAUCAACGUCGUGGGGAACAAGGAAAGAUUGAAAUACUGUAACAGACCAGAGGAAACUAAGGAAACUUAAUUGAUGACUGAAUGCAGUGUGCUGUGUUGAACUGGAUCCUAGAGAAAAUAGACAUUAGUGGAAAAACUACUGAAAUAUGAAUAGUCUCAAGUUUAAUAGUAGUGUACCAUUAUUACUUUCUUAGUUUUGACAAAUGUACCAUGGUUAUGCAAGAUGCUAACAAUACAGAAAAAUAAGGGGUAUUUGGGACCUCCCUGUAUUAUCCUUAUGCCCUUACUUGAAAGUUGUUUCAGCAAUAGAAGUUUAUUUAAAAUAUUGUGAAGGGCCUGAGUAUUUUUAAAUCAACUGCAGUGACUCUCUUUUGUGUAUUUGUGUACAGAUGAGUUUUUCUGCAUCGAAUUUUAUCUCCUUUCCUUGCAGAAGAAAGAGAAUUAGCCCUUUACAGAGAUAACAGUUGCCUAAGCCAGCUCUUUUCUCCUCUUUUUGAUGUUCUUCUUUUUCUCUCAGUUUGAAAAUUGUAGGUUAUUUGAGUUUUUAAAAUGUCUAUUGCUACAUACACAUUCUAGUUAUAUUCUAGUCCAAACAAUCUAGUAAAAUAUCUAAAAGAAAAAUGCUGUUCACUGUAUUUUUUAUUUUUAAAAUGUGAGUGAGUGCAUUUAAAUAAUAGGUUGUGUUAUUAUAAUUAUGAGCUAAAAGUUUUGAAGUGUGAUUUAAAGAGUCUUUAACAUUACAAUUCUGGACUACAAAGUGUAAAAAUUGUAUUUUAAAAGAUUCAUGUACUGUUUCCGAUAAAUAGAUGAAUCUUUGAUCACUG